rnacentral:rRNA from 1 species
AUUGAACGCUGGCGGCAUGCCUUACACAUGCAAGUCGAACGGCAGCACGGGAGCUUGCUCCUGGUGGCGAGUGGCGAACGGGUGAGUAAAGCAUCGGAACGUGCCCUGAAGUGGGGGAUAACGUAGCGAAAGUUACGCUAAUACCGCAUAUUCUGUGAGCAGGAAAGCAGGGGAUCUUCGGACCUUGUGCUUUAGGAGCGGCCGAUGCCGGAUUAGCUAGUUGGUGAGGUAAAGGCUCACCAAGGCGACGAUCCGUAGCGGGUCUGAGAGGAUGAUCCGCCACACUGGGACUGAGACACGGCCCAGACUCCUACGGGAGGCAGCAGUGGGGAAUUUUGGACAAUGGGCGCAAGCCUGAUCCAGCCAUGCCGCGUGAGUGAAGAAGGCCUUCGGGUUGUAAAGCUCUUUCGGCGGGGAAGAAAUUGCACUCUCUAAUACAGGGUGUAGAUGACGGUACCCGCAUAAGAAGCACCGGCUAACUACGUGCCAGCCGCCGCCGUAAUAC